CUCCUUUUCCCCUCUCUUCUCCACCGCCCAACCAAAACUCUCGCCGACUUCCCCUUCCCUCUUCCCUCUUCCCUCUACCGAAUCGGAUCGCCAUCAGCCUCGGGACGAUCGAGCGCCAUCGCAUGGGAGAUUCCUCUUAGGGCAUCAUAGUCACGGGGAGGCCUUCAACCAUCUCAUCGACGGCACGGAACAGCGAGCCAAGGGAUAGGCAAGUACAUUCUACUAUGGUGACAUGAGACCUGUGAGGUGAGGAAGACGUCACCCAGGUUAUGAUGGAAGGCAUGCGGACAGAGUAGAUGAGGAGGCGAGAUGGAUGCACGACACACUGUUCGAGCGCUUAUGUAGUGCUAAGCUUUUUAUUGUAUGAGAAGUUGUAUUGGUGUAUCCUCGUUCUUUUUGUUACAUUUUGUUUGAGAUGAUACCAGUUAUGUUGGGUAUGAUGGUUCUUUAUGAUGGAUUUCUAUUCUGGUUAUAUUACAGUAAAGUUUAGAGGAA